rnacentral:rRNA from 1 species
UGGCGGCGUGCUUAACACAUGCAAGUCAAGGACGUUUGCGUAGCAAUAUGCAAGCGGACUGGCGCACGGGUGCGUAACACGUAGGCAAUCCACCCUUAGGACGGGCACAACCGUGAGAAAUCAUGGCUAAUUCCCGAUGAUGCAGCGGCACCGCAUGGUGACAGUUGUUAAAGCCUCCAAAAGAGGCGCCUAGGGACGAGCCUGCGCCCCAUUAGGUAGUUGGCGGGAUAAUAGCCCACCAAGCCUGCGAUGGGUAGCCGGUCUGAGAGGAUGAUCGGCCACAUUGGGACUGAGACACGGCCCAGACUCCUACGGGAGGCAGCAGUGAGGAAUAUUGCUCAAUGGGCGAAAGCCUGAAGCAGCAACGCCGCGUGCGGGAUGAAGGCGCUCUGCGUCGUAAACCGCUGUAGGACGGGAAAAACACCUUUUUCUGAAAGGUUCGAUGGUACCGUCAAAGUAAGCCUCGGCUAACUACGUGCCAGCAGCCGCGGUAAUACGUAGGAGGCAAGCGUUGUCCGGAAUCACUGGGUGUAAAGGGUGCGCAGGCGGGGAGGUAAGUCAGAGGUGAAAUCUCACGGCUCAACCGUGAAACUGCCUCUGAUACUGCUUCUCUUGAGUUCGGGAGAGGGUGGUG